UACGUAGGUGACAAGCGUUGUCCGGAUUUACUGGGCGUAAAGAGCUCGUAGGCGGUCUGUCGCGUCGGAUGUGAAAGCCCGGGGCUUAACCCCGGGUCUGCAUUCGAUACGGGCAGACUAGAGUGUGGUAGGGGAGAUCGGAAUUCCUGGUGUAGCGGUGAAAUGCGCAGAUAUCAGGAGGAACACCGGUGGCGAAGGCGGAUCUCUGGGCCAUUACUGACGCUGAGGAGCGAAAGCGUGGGGAGCGAACAGG
rnacentral:rRNA from 1 species